rnacentral:rRNA from 1 species
AACGAACGCUGGCGGCAGGCCUAACACAUGCAAGUCGAGCGGACCCUUCGGGGUUAGCGGCGGACGGGUGAGUAACGCGUGGGAACGUGCCCUUUGCUUCGGAAUAGCCCUGGGAAACUGGGAGUAAUAUCGGAUACGCCCUUUUGGGGAAAGAUUUAUCGGCGAAGGAUCGGCCCGCGUUGGAUUAGGUAGUUGGUGGGGUAAUGGCCUACCAAGCCGACGAUCCAUAGCUGGUUUGAGAGGAUGAUCAGCCACACUGGGACUGAGGCACGGCCCAGACUCCUACGGGAGGAAGCAGUGGGGAAUCUUAGACAAUGGUGGGAACACUGAUCUAGCCAUGCCGCGUGAGCGAUGAAGGCCUUAGGGUUGUAAAGCUCUUUCACCGGGGAAGAUAAUGACGGUACCCGGAGAAGAAGCCCCGGCUAACUCCGUG